GAUGAACGCUGGCGGCGUGCCUAACACAUGCAAGUCGAGCGAACCCUUCGGGGUGAGCGGCGGACGGGCGAGUAACGCGUGGGUAACCUGCCCUGUACACACGGAUAACAUACCGAAAGGUAUGCUAAUACGGGAUAAUAUAUGAGAGUCGCAUGGCUUUUGUAUCAAAGCUCCGGCGGUACAGGAUGGACCCGCGUCUGAUUAGCUAGUUGGUAAGGUAACGGCUUACCAAGGCAACGAUCAGUAGCCGACCUGAGAGGGUGAUCGGCCACAUUGGAACUGAGACACGGUCCAAACUCCUACGGGAGGCAGCAGUGGGGAAUAUUGCACAAUGGGCGAAAGCCUGAUGCAGCAACGCCGCGUGAGCGAUGAAGGCCUUCGGGUCGUAAAGCUCUGUCCUCAAGGAAGAUAAUGACGGUACUUGAGGAGGAAGCCCCGGCUAACUACGUGCCAGCAGCCGCGGUAAUACGUAGGGGGCUAGCGUUAUCCGGAAUUACUGGGCGUAAAGGGUGCGUAGGCGGUCUUUCAAGCCAGAAGUGAAAGGCUACGGCUCAACCGUAGUAAGCUUUUGGAACUGUAGGACUUGAGUGCAGGAGAGGAGAGUGGAAUUCCUAGUGUAGCGGUGAAAUGCGUAGAUAUUAGGAGGAACACCAGUAGCGAAGGCGGCUCUCUGGACUGUAACUGACGCUGAGGCACGAAAGCGUGGGGAGCAAACAGGAUUAGAUACCCUGGUAGUCCACGCCGUAAACGAUGAGUACUAGGUGUCGGGGGUUACCCCCCUCGGUGCCGCAGCUAACGCAUUAAGUACUCCGCCUGGGAAGUACGCUCGCAAGAGUGAAACUCAAAGGAAUUGACGGGGACCCGCACAAGUAGCGGAGCAUGUGGUUUAAUUCGAAGCAACGCGAGGAACCUUACCUAAGCUUGACAUCCCACUGAUCUCUCCCUAAUCGGAGAUUUCCCUUCGGGGACAGUGGUGACAGGUGGUGCAUGGUUGUCGUCAGCUCGUGUCGUGAGAUGUUGGGUUAAGUCCCGCAACGAGCACAACCCUUGCCUUUAGUUGCCAGCAUUAAGUUGGGCACUCUAGAGGGACUGCCGAGGAUAACUCGGAGGAAGGUGGGGAUGACGUCAAAUCAUCAUGCCCCUUAUGCUUAGGGCUACACACGUGCUACAAUGGGUGGUACAAAGGGUUGCCAAACCGUGAGGUGGAGCUAAUCCCUUAAAGCCAUUCUCAGUUCGGAUUGUAGGCUGAAACUCGCCUACAUGAAGCUGGAGUUACUAGUAAUCGCAGAUCAGAAUGCUGCGGUGAAUGCGUUCCCGGGUCU
rnacentral:rRNA from 1 species